rnacentral:tRNA from 1 species
UCUGAAAUACCAACUCAGUUGGUAGAGCGUCAGACUACAAAUCGAAAGGUCCUUGGUUCGAUCCCCGGUUCCGGCA